rnacentral:rRNA from 1 species
UACGUAGGGUGCAAGCGUUGUCCGGAAUUAUUGGGCGUAAAGAGCUCGUAGGCGGUCUGUCGCGUCGGCUGUGAAAACUCGGGGCUCAACUCCGAGCUUGCAGUCGAUACGGGCAGGCUAGAGUUCGGCAGGGGAGACUGGAAUUCCUGGUGUAGCGGUGAAAUGCGCAGAUAUCAGGAGGAACACCGGUGGCGAAGGCGGGUCUCUGGGCCGAUACUGACGCUGAGACGCGAAAGCGUGGGGAGCGAACCGG